CUGAGUGAACAUACAUAUUGCAGAAUUUUUCUGUCUGCCCAGGGGAUAAAACAUCAAGUUUGCUGCAUACAAAGAAGUCCAUCCAGGAAAUCAGUUGCCAAUCUCACCUUCUUUCAUGUACCCCCAGUCUCUUCUAUUGAUUCUUUUGGAGCUGUUCCCCGUUUGGCUUUAUAGGAAGAGAAGGAAAAGAAGUCAAAACAUCCUUCCUCAGGUGGAAGACUCAAGAUUCCUUGAAUGUAUUGAAUUUUCUAGGGGUUGGGAGGGAAGAUGAGGAUUCAGGAAGUGAUGGAGAGUAGCCAAGCUGAUUUGGACACUUUUUGGUAAGCCCUGGACAAAGUUCUGGACUCCACUGUUUUCAGUUCUGUUUUGAAUAGGCCUGUGGUAGGUAGAAUAAUGGCCUUCCAGAGAAGUCCAUGUCCUAAUCUCUGGGACCUAUGAAUAUGUAACAUUGCAUGGCAAAGGGGAAUUAAGGCAGCAGAUGAAUUUAAGGUUAGUAAUCAGCUGGACUUAAAAUAGGGAUGUUGUCCUGGUGGAUUAUCCAAGUGGAUCCAAUGUCAUCACAAGGGUCAUUGAAUAUGGACAAAGGAGGCAGAGGAGUCAGUGUCACAGUGAUGUGACAUGAGAGUUGACCAGCCCUUGCUUGCUUUGAAGGUGGAAAGGGACCACAGCCAAGGAAUGCAAGCAACCUCUAGAAGCUGGAAAAGUGAUUCAGAGAUCGCAUUUCAAAGUUGCAGACUCACUUUAGGAAAUGAGACACUGACUACCCAGGGAGGCGACAGUCUGUGGAAGGGCACAUGGGGAAGCGGAAGCCAGCACUUACUACGUGCCUGCUGUGUGCCAGGAGUUGUUCGCACUCAUCUUUUUAAAUUCUCACCGAACUUCCCCAAGUCAGGUAGAAUUUUCCCUUUCUCAUAAGACCAGCAAUUGAGA
rnacentral:lncRNA from 1 species